rnacentral:rRNA from 1 species
CUAGCGUUAUCCGGAUUUACUGGGUGUAAAGGGAGCGCAGGCGGUGCGGCAAGUCUGAUGUGAAAGCCCGGGGCUCAACCCCGGUACUGCAUUGGAAACUGUCGUACUAGAGUGUCGGAGGGGUAAGCGGAAUUCCUAGUGUAGCGGUGAAAUGCGUAGAUAUUAGGAGGAACACCAGUGGCGAAGGCGGCUUACUGGACGAUAACUGACGCUGAGGCUCGAAAGCGUGGGGAGCAAACAGGAUUAGAUACCCCU